UACAGAGGGUGCAAGCGUUGUUCGGAAUUAUUGGGCGUAAAGCGCGUGUAGGCGGCUUAGCAAGUCGGGCGUGAAAGCCCUCGGCUCAACCGAGGAAGUGCACCCGAAACUGCUGAGCUUGAGUGCCGGAGAGGAUGGCGGAAUUCCCCAAGUAGAGGUGAAAUUCGUAGGUAUGGGGAGGAACACCGGUGGCGAAGGCGGCCAUCUGGACGGUAACUGACGCUGAGACGCGAAAGCGUGGGGAGCAAACAGG
rnacentral:rRNA from 1 species